GCAAAGUCCUGUUUCUGUUUUCAUUUAACAAACGAGGAAACGGAAGUACAAUGAAAUUAAGAGACUUGAUCAUGAUGAAACAAAUGGCUUUGUUCCAGAUUCUAGACGGUGGAGGAGCUGCCAUCACAGGGAACAGAUGAUCCUGCCUCUUUCAUCUGAGAUGGCACAAACUUGGAGGUCUUUCUUGCUCCCUCUCUCUUGUUGCUUGAGGAAUAGUCUGUCUUCCCUCUGCCAUAAAGAAGCAUACAAGGCACUUUGAACAGCCCGUCCCAGGGCCCUGCCUGCUUCAGGAAAGGGACGUGCCUUCCAGAAGAGCAUCCUCUUGGCCAGAGCUACUGAGGGUGGGGGUUCAGACCUUGACCCUGACAACCCAGAAGACACCAGAAGGCACGACUGCCCUGCCUGCUUCCUGAGCAGAAUUGGUAUUAAAUAUUUGCCUCUGCACACAUACAGCGGGUGCAGCAAGGAGAGCGCCCUGGGGAGGGGUGUCUUCCCUUCUCCCUUCCUCCAGCCUACCUCCUACCUCCUUUCCUGUUUGCCUCCUCCUCCUUUCAUGAGACAGUCAUUGAGUUCCUACGAUGAGCACUGCCUGCCACCGUUCAUUGAGCCCACACUCUCCCGAGGGAGACAGAACAUAGAAAGUAAACAAGUAAAUAACAUGACAGCAGAUGGUGUUAAGCGCCUUGAGAGAUAAAACAGUGAGCAUGGCUGGAGCGAGUGGGAGCUAUUUUAGGGAAUGAGAGAUUCUGAGGGAAUCUCUUCCCUGAACUCCACCUGCGUAGGUCAAGAGUGCCUGCACAGAGGUCAUGACAUUUGACCUGGGGUGGAGUGUGGGGGUGAGAGUGUGGGCUCUGGAAUGAGGCAACCUUGGUUUUAAAGAGGACCCAGGUAUGUAACCAGUGAACUCACCACCCUGUGCCUCAGUUUCCCCUGUGCCUUAUCUGUAAAAUGGGGAGAAUGUAAUCAUGGUGCUCUCUUAGCAGGAAGAGUUGCUGUCAGCGUUGCAUGAGGAAGCACACGUGAAAAGCUAAGAACAGAACUGGGCAUGUAGUAAGUGCAUGAUGAGUUUUUGUUCAUGAGAGAAUGAAUGAAUGAAUGAAUGAAUAAAUGAAAAUAAAGUACAAAGUGUCUUUACACCGUACAAUUAGACCAGACCAAGACAAAAUUCAGAUAUCUUCCCUUCAACUUUCUCCAAGUAGAGAUCAUUCCCUCUGAGCCACGACAGCCCCAUGGUUGUGCACGAGUGGGGGAAUUCCAACCACUGGCAUAAUCAGAAGAGUUUUAUUUUGUUUUCUGCAGAGGCUGUGGGAUGCAGAGUUCAGUGUGGCUUCCAGAGCCAGAUGACUGGGUUCAAAUCCUGUCUUUGCCUCUAACUGUAUAACCUUGGGCAACAUACAUAGUACUUAGUCUCCCUGCCUCAGUCUCCACAUUGUCAAAUGAGGGAAAUUGUGCUGUGAGGAUGAAAGUGAAUAUCUACAAGGUAUUUGGACUGUACCUAGAGCAUCUGUGCGGUGUAAUUUUAACAGUCAGAGUCAAUUCCAUAUUUUAAAGUGCUUUUCAGACUGCUGAGUGCUGUGCAGGUAUUGUUGUUGCUGGUAUUAUGCCACCAUGUGAGUUUAUGCAGACAGGACAGUCAUCAUUAGCAAAACUAGGUCAUGUUUUCCUGGCUGGUUUCUGGUCUUACAUAUUUGUAUACUGUCUCAUUUCAUUUGUGUAAUCCAGAUUUCCCCAACAGACGUCAUGCCAGCCCCUCCCCCUUCCUACUUGCCUAAUAGGAAGUUCCAUCCUUUCCUGGGUUCGUAACCCCAGACGAUGUCAUGGUGCCUCUCUCGGCUCUGCUCUCCCGAGGCCAGUUCCCACCUCCACACUGGUGCUGCCCCUGUCCAGUGUCUCCCAUGGGAGCAAGCAGUGGCCACAGCACUUCCAACCCAUGUCUAC